rnacentral:lncRNA from 1 species
UUUUUUUUUUCACUUUUUAAUUACAUCCUUUACAUAAUUGUAUAUUUUAGGGGACUAAUAAGCUGAUGCCCAUUUCGCUUGAUAUAUUUGGAAAGCACAACUCAUAAUAUGCAGAAUUCACAUCCACUUCAAAAUUUAGGCUUUCAAAGAUUUCAAUUCCAGUAGAUUUAAUACAGACAAAAUUAUAUAUCUAAUAGGUUCAUAAAUGUCUUCCCUCUAAUACCAUAUAGAGUUGUAUAUGGUAUUACACACACAACAUGACACAAUUAUUUAUAUUUAAUAUUUGAAAAUGAAGCUAUUAUCAGGGUAGAUAUGGUCACUGAAGAAUUUUUAUUGUGUGGGCGCCUGGUAGCUCAGAGGUUGAACGUCUGCCUUUGGUUCAGGGUGUGAUCCCGGGGUCCUGGGAUCGAGUCCCACACUCGGCUCCCUGCAUGGAGCCUGCUUCUCCCUCUGCCUGUGUCUCUGCCUCUUUCUCUGUAUCUCUCAUGAAUAAAUAAAUAAAAUCUUUAAAAGAAAAGAAUUUUUAUUGUGAACUUGCAUUGUGACAAGAAUUUUAUUGAGCAGAUAUUCUUUUUCAAGUUUUUAAGUGUUAUAUUUCUAUUGAAAUAUUGAAUACAUUCAGAGCAAACCUAAGAAAAAAUAAACAAAACAUAUAUUUAAGAGAAGGAAGACCUAUUGUGCCUAGAGUUUCUGACAUGAGAGUGUACAGGGCUAAUAAAGUAGUAAACUAAGGAGAGAUAGUAAGUAUUGAACUACACAUGCAUACAAGAAGUUGAACUAAAUAUGCAUCAUUAUGGCUUUACUAACCAAAAGAUUAAACUUAUUUGGGCUGAAAUUUCCUCCCAUUUUAUUUAUUUAUUUAUUUAUUUUUUUUCCUCCCAUUUUAAAAUGAAAUUACUAUUUUUUGCUAGCCAUUUGUUUGUAAGUCACUCCGCUGGAUAUGUUCUAUAUAUGUGUGAUCAUAUUUAAUCCUUAUACCUCAUAGAGGUGUAGUUAGUAUAUUCAAGAGCUAUGACAGACAAAUGAGGCUAGAGAUUCCAAAUAUGCAUCUCAAAUGGGUUGAUAUUAACGGACAGAGAAGGGGUUAAAUUGUAGGUCAACCUUACUCUGAAGUAAUGUUUUUACCUUUAAAAAAAAAAAAGAUUUUAUUUAUUUAUUCAUGAGAAAUACACAGGGAGAGGCAGAGACACAAGCAGAGGGAGAAGCAGGUUCCUGAUGGGGAGCCCGAUGUGGGACUCUAUCCCAGGACCCCAGAAUCACGACCUGAACCAAAAGCAGAUGCCCAACCACUGAGCCACUCAGGCAUCCCAUGUUUUUACCUUUUAAUGCAGAAAAUGAGUUCGUAUCCUGAAACCCAUUGCCCUAUUAUUAUAAGUCUUUUCAAAAAAAGAAAGAAAGAAAAUGUGUAAGUAUGUGCAUGUGUGUGUGCAUGACAACUGUACAAUUGGAAAAUCAGUAUGCAAGAUCUCUAAGAACAUUCAAAGGGUAAUAACCAUAUAUGCAAAUCAACCAUUAAGUAGAAUUUCAAAUUAUGUAUUUUCCUUUUACUAUUAGCAGUUGAAUAAGAUGGUCAUUUCAAAUAACUUCCAAUUAAUGAUCUCCCACUAUUAAAGAAUUCAUAAUUUACUGAUGUAUGUCAAAAUAAUUAGCUGUCAGAAAGCAGAAGAGCUCGUGUUAUUCUUUAAAAUAGCAAAACUUCUUUCACCUAUGACCUGCUUUGAUUUUGUUGAUUCAAUAAGUGCCAGACAUUUCCAUUCAACCAAGAACUUCUGUCUCUUGUAACUAUCGCGGACGGACUCAGUGUCCUGCUUAAUCUCGCUAUGCCACUAAGAUUAGCCAUGUGAAAGAAAAGAAGCCCCGUAUGUCAGAACAAUUCAACAAUUAAGGAGAAGUAUCAUCAUCCUACCAGUAAGUAAAACGAGUACUGAACAAAAGGAAAGCAAAACGAAUCUUGCUUCUCGUUUCAUUACUUGCUCCAGAUUCAAGAACAACUUCUCAACUAUUCAUUGUCUUCCUAAUGUAACAACGAAGACUUGCAUGGAAUGAACCCAUAAAAGUCAUGCAGAAGAUCCAAAAAACAAAGUGCCAGGUGAGAGAAUAUUAUGAUUAAAAUGAUCAAAUAGGAACUAACUAGAAUACUAUUUUUUCCCAAAGUUAAUAUUGUUCCUUAUGCGAUGACAGGUAAUAUAGUCUCAUGUCAAUAACUGUGCAUUUCAAUUACUCUAGCUAAAAGCUCUUGUCACUCAUAAUACACUACAUUAUAUCUGGCAUUUUGUGAUGCCAGUUCCUUUGGGAUUACAAAAUAAUAAUAAUAAUAAUACCCUCAUUAACAGAGUGGUAAGUAUUUGAAUGCUGUGCCAACAUUUAACUCAUGUCUGCCAAUCGAAACAGGAAAAUGUUCUUUAUUGAUUGGAGAAAGGAUCUUGUUUGAAGAUAAUUGACUCUGAGUUUUCCAUUGACAUAAUACCACCUCCGGAAGAAACAUAUGCUCGACUCAGAAAACAAAGGUUAGAUAUAAGAGUCUGAUCACUUUCUCCUUACUCAAGCACAGCUCCUAUUGACUUGAGUGAAAAUUCUGUCUAUCUGCAAAUCAAAGGAUUAUAGAUCAUUUGGUCCACUUUAGAAGCAGAAAAAUUUCUUCAAAUAAAAAGCUUAUACAAGGGCAAGGCAUCUGAAGUAUAAAGGGCUGGGAUUCUCUCACAGAAAAAGGCAGGGAUGGAGUGAGGUGGCCAAGACAAAAAAAAAAAAAUCAUAAAAGACACAUUCACAUAAAUAAGUAUUUUAUUGCUAUUCUAAAAUAAUCAUGGUUAAGAUGUUGGUACAAGUGAGAUAUUAAACAUUGGAUGUGUGAAGUUUGGGAUUCCAAUGAAACAUCCAAGUAAAAAUGUCCAGUGGCAUAAGAAUAUAAAAAAUUUUGCUGAGUGUCUAGGCGGAGGGUGGGAGUAAACACGGAUACCACACACAGCUACGAAGGAGAAGCAGCCUCGACGAGGGAGUGCCAGGACAUUCGGAGAGUGGAUGUCAGGGAGAUCUGAUGUAUCAGCAAUAAAAACUGAGGCCCAAUGGGAAAUGAGGUGACUGCUGACCUAGAAGCCAAGGGAAGAAAUGUUCCAAGGACGAGGGGGUGAUGUAGUGUUUUCAAUGCUGCUGGGAGCCAAAUAAACAGAUCGUCGACCUGACCUUGUGCUUCCACUAUGCAACUCUAAUAAAAACAGGUUGCUGAAGGCUUGGGUAUAAGAGUGACUUUAGGGGUUUCCAGGAGAAUGGAAGAUGAACCAUGAUAAAUAUCACAGGCAGUAAAGGAGCUUUCCUGGCAAGGGGAGCACGAAAUGAACUCACUGGUGAAAUGGGAAGUGUCCUUAGGAGAGGGACUUUGUGCUAAUGCAAAGGGCCACAGAGGGUGAUAGGGGUGAGGCAGGAGGGGGGGUGCCAUGAGAGGUCCUCGAGUGGGUGAGAGGCGAGGCAAUCCAGUUCACAGCUGGAGAGUCUGGCCUCCCCAGGGAACACAGGUGCUUCACUAUCGCUGUGGGAUGGAAGGGAGCAUAAGGGAGCACAUCUUAUGUGCUCGAACAUAAGAAAAUCAGAGUAUGUGGGCUAGACACGUAGGAUGCACCUACCCCAGUGACUGUGAGGAUGGCAGAUGACAAUUAGAAAGUUACUGACACCCAGUACAUUUUUACAGGUGGUAAAUAUGAGCUUUUUUAAAUGCACAUGCUAAAGAGCCACUGAGCCCAUUAAGUAAUGGGUUCGCUUACGCCCAGCACUUGUGGCUACGAAGACUAGCUGCCAGGGCUCUGUGCAUUUUCACAAAGCGGCUAUGAUCCCUAUCUCCACACGCUCCUUAACCCAGAGCUGACCCACAGUGAACUGUCCUGAGCCACUCAUGAACCCACAAAGAAACCCAACCCUUCAGAGGUGGCUGCUGCUCCCUUUCCCCAUAUGAUCAGCAAAAAAGUACACUUUAAAAGGGAAAAGCAUUACCAGAAAAAAGAAAAGUCGUAGGAUUAAAAAAAACUACAAAUACUGGGACACCUGGGUGGCUCAGUGGUUGAGCAUCUGCCUUCAGCCCAGGGCGUGAUUCUGGAGUCCCAGGAUCCAGUCCCACAUUGGGCUUCCUGCAGGGAGCCUGCUUCUCCCUCUGGCUGUGUCUCUGCCUCUCUCUCUCUCUGUCUCUCAUGAAUAAAUAAAAAAAAAAAUCUUAAAAAAAAAUUACAACUACUGAAAUUAGCAUCAUUAAAACUAAAGGGUCACGCAUGUAAUCCUUUAAAAAAAAGAUUAAGAAAAUAAUAUUGCAAUUUUAAAGACCUUCAGAAAGGGUAAAUUUGUCAGGUCACCUGGCUGGCUCAGUUGGGACAGCACUCUCAGGGCCCUGAGUUCAGCCCCACAGUGGGUAUGGAACCUACUAAAAAAAAGAAAAGGGAAGAAAAGAAAGAAAAGAAAAAAAAAAAAAAAAAAAGAAAAAAGAAAAAAAAAAGAAAAGAAAAGAAAAGAAAG